rnacentral:rRNA from 1 species
UACGUAGGGUGCGAGCGUUAAUCGGAAUUACUGGGCGUAAAGCGUGCGCAGGCGGUUGUGCAAGACAGAUGCGAAAUCCCCGGGCUUAACCUGGGAACUGCAUUUGUGACUGCACAGCUGGAGUGCGGCAGAGGGGAUGGAAUUCCGCGUGUAGCAGUGAAAUGCGUAGAUAUGCGGAGGAACACCGAUGGCGAAGGCAAUCCCCUGGGCCUGCACUGACGCUCAUGCACGAAGCGUGGGGAGCAAACAGG